rnacentral:lncRNA from 10 species
AUAUUGAUAACAGCUUAUAUUUAAUGAACACUUAUUUUGUGCCAGUAACCUAAUGUGCUAAACAUUUUACAUAACUUCAGUGCUGUUAUUAUCUGUCUGCUGAUGAAAAAACAAGGUUCCAUGGUCAGUAAGUGAUGGAGUCAGACUUUGAACGCACAUAAAUGAGCUUCAGGCCCGUGUUCUUAACCUUCAACCAUGUGGUCUUCCCUAGACUGGAGGCUUCAGAGGGAAGAAUCUGCAAUUUACUACAUUUCGUGUUCCUAUCAUCUUAUAGAUGGCUAAUAUGUAAAGGGCACAUGCAGAAUAUUAGGGGAAUGCAUUCUAGAUUAGGGAAGAGACAGGAGUUUUACUAGUCAAUGAAAGAUAGAAUUUCAGGUCUAUAGAAUGUUUACCUUGGGAGAGGAGAAGAAGAGAGGUUAUCUACCAUAUAGAUCUGAAGGUCAUAGAUUCUAAAACUACUUUAAUUCAUCUUUCCUGAAGUAUUUCUGAAUAGAGUAAGUAAACAGAAUGAGUGCCAAUCCCUUGGAAACAGCAAUUGAUUUUUAUAUUGCUUUUCACAGAGUCAACAUAUGCAGACAGUCUGACUUGCCUAUUGAUCUGAGCUAGAGUUGAGUGAAUGAGCUGGAUGUAAAAUUCCCUAACUCAUCACUAAAAGUCAGUCAGACCUUGAACGACGGUUACUUUCUUUUUUUUUUCUAACAUGGGUGACAAUGAGCAAUUGAAUGCUUAGAUUGGGAGCU